CUCCCUUCCUCGUUGUGCAGAUGGCUGUUGUCUGGGACGGUGUUCUAUACAAGAAAAAAUAACACAGAUACUGAAGACCAGAGGCAAAGUUAAAGCCACUAGAGGUCAGAUCCAUCACUGGAUGAAGAUUCUAUGGUGAUAUGCAAGAUAGUCAUCAGUGUGGCGAUGGGAUAAGGCCAGUUCAGGCACCCUCUCCUCUUCUGCCCAAGGAACAAGCUGGGGACAUCUCCUUGGACACCUGGGAACGCCUCCAGAGCUAAGUCUCUUGCAAACCCUAAAAUGGCUCCCUUAAUUAAGAUAUCUACUUCCCUGCUCCCACAUCCACCCCUCCUCCAUCCCAACCAUUCCAAUCCUUCAAGCUCUU